rnacentral:rRNA from 1 species
CCUACGGGAGGCAGCAGUAGGGAAUCUUUCACAAUGGGCGAAAGCCUGAUGGAGCAACGCCGCGUGCAGGAUGAAGGCCUUCGGGUUGUAAACUGAUUUUAUAAGCGAGAAAUAUGAUGGUAACUUAUGAAUAAGGAUCGGCUAACUACGUGCCAGCAGCCGCGGUCAUACGUAGGAUCCGAGCAUUAUCCGGAGUGACUGGGUGUAAAGAGUUGCGUAGGUGGCAUAAUAAGUAGCUAGGGAAAUCUGGUGGCUCAACCAUACAGACUAUUAGCUAAACUGUUAAGCUCGAGACCGUUAGGGGUAACUGGAAUUUCUGGUGUAGGAGUGAAAUCCGUAGAUAUUAGAAGGAACACCAAUAGCGUAGGCAGGUUGCUGGGACGGUUCUGACACUAAGGCACGAAAGCGUAGGGAGCAAACGGGAUUAGAUACCCCAGUAGUC